GAACUAUACUCACUGUACCAGUCACGUGGUUAUCCACAGUUCCGGCUACAGAAUAUUCCACAACCUGAUCGUUGUCUACAAGUAGCAAGAGUGUCUUCAACAAGUUAAAUGUGAACUAUACUCAUCGUACCAGUCACGUGGUCACACAGAGUUCCGGCUACAGAAUAUUCCACAACCUGAUUGUUAUCUACAAGUAGCAAGUGUGUCUUCAAAAAGUAUAAAGUGAAGUAGAUCCACCAUCACACCCACUGUACAGAAAUUCCUGGA